CUCCCCAGGGUCCUCCGCAGCCCGGCAACGGCAGUGCUUCCCUCACGUGAUCAGGCCCUGUGGUGGGCAGGGGUGCUUGCCCGGAGCCUGAGAUGACUAUGAAAACUGGGCAGGUGCAGUGCGGCCAGGGGAG
ensembl:scaRNA